GACGAACGCUGGCGGCGUGCUUAACACAUGCAAGUCGAGCGAUGAAGCUCCUUCGGGAGUGGAUUAGCGGCGGACGGGUGAGUAACACGUGGGCAACCUGCCUUGUAGAGAGGAAUAGCCAUCCGAAAGGAUGAUUAAUACCUCAUAAUAUUGUAGCUUCGCAUGGAGCAACAAUCAAAGGAGCAAUCCACUAUAAGAUGGGCCCGCGGCGCAUUAGCUAGUUGGUGAGGUAACGGCUCACCAAGGCGACGAUGCGUAGCCGACCUGAGAGGGUGAUCGGCCACAUUGGGACUGAGACACGGCCCAGACUCCUACGGGAGGCAGCAGUGGGGAAUAUUGCACAAUGGGGGAAACCCUGAUGCAGCAACGCCGCGUGAGUGAUGACGGCCUUCGGGUUGUAAAGCUCUGUCUUCAGGGACGAUAAUGACGGUACCUGAGGAGGAAGCCACGGCUAACUACGUGCCAGCAGCCGCGGUAA
rnacentral:rRNA from 1 species